rnacentral:rRNA from 2 species
GGCCGCAAGGUUAAAACUCAAAUGAAUUGACGGGGGCCCGCACAAGCGGUGGAGCAUGUGGUUUAAUUCGAUGCAACGCGAAGAACCUUACCUGGUCUUGACAUCCACAGAACUUUCCAGAGAUGGAUUGGUGCCUUCGGGAACUGUGAGACAGGUGCUGCAUGGCUGUCGUCAGCUCGUGUUGUGAAAUGUUGGGUUAAGUCCCGCAACGAGCGCAACCCUUAUCCUUUGUUGCCAGCGAUUAGGUCGGGAACUCAAAGGAGACUGCCAGU